ACGGGUGAGUAAUACAUCGGAACGUAUCCUGGAGUGGGGGAUAGCCCGGCGAAAGCCGGAUUAAUACCGCAUACGCUCUGAGGAGGAAAGCGGGGGACCUUCGGGCCUCGCGCUCAAGGGGCGGCCGAUGGCGGAUUAGGUAGUUGGUGGGGUAAAGGCCUACCAAGCCGACGAUCCGUAGCUGGUCUGAGAGGACGACCAGCCACACUGGGACUGAGACACGGCCCAGACUCCUACGGGAGGCAGCAGUGGGGAAUUUUGGACAAUGGGGGCAACCCUGAUCCAGCAAUGCCGCGUGUGUGAAGAAGGCCUUCGGGUUGUAAAGCACUUUUGUCCGGAAAGAAAUCAUCGGGGCCAAUACCCCUGGUGGAUGACGGUACCGGAAGAAUAAGCACCGGCUAGCUACGUGCCAGCAGCCGCGGUAAUACGUAGGGUGCGAGCGUUAAUCGGAAUUACUGGGCGUAAAGCGUGCGCAGGCGGUGCUGUAAGACCGAUGUGAAAUCCCCGGGCUUAACCUGGGAACUGCAUUGGUGACUGCAGCGCUGGAGUAUGGCAGAGGGGGGUGGAAUUCCACGU
rnacentral:rRNA from 1 species